rnacentral:rRNA from 1 species
GACGAAGGUGGCAAGCGUUGUUCGGAAUCACUGGGCAUAAAGAGCACGUAGGCGGCUAAGUAAGUCGGAUGUGAAAUACCUCGGCUCAACCGAGGAACUGCGUCCGAUACUGCUUGGCUUGAGGUCCGGAGGGAGAGUGGAAUUCCCGGUGGAGCGGUGAAAUGCGUAGAGAUCGGGAAGAACGCCGGCGGCGAAAGCGAACUCUCUGGUCGGAAGUCUGACGCUGAGGUGCGAAA